rnacentral:rRNA from 1 species
GACGAACGCUGGCGGCGUGCUUAACACAUGCAAGUGGAGCGACGAACCGGGGCUUGCCCCGGGGCAGAGCCGCGAACGGGUGAGUAACACGUGGGUAACCCACCCCGAUGACCGGGACAACCCGAGGAAACUCGGGCUAAUACCGGAUGUGCUCCUUGAUCUUGAGAUCAAGGCGUAAAGAUAGCUUCGGCCUUCGCAUCGGGACGGGCCCGCGGCCCAUUAGCUUGUUGGUGGGGUAAAGGCCUACCAAGGCGACGAUGGGUAGCUGGUCUGAGAGGGCGAUCAGCCACGCUGGGACUGAGACACGGCCCAGACUCCUACGGGAGGCAGCAGUGGGGAAUCUUGCACAAUGCGCGAAAGCGUGAUGCAGCAACGCCGCGUGGGGGAAGAAGGCCUUCGGGUUGUAAACCCCUUUCAGUUGGGACGAAGCUUCGCCGGUGAAUAGCCGGCUGGAGUGACGGUACCUUCACAAGAAGCCCCGGCUAACUACGUGCCAGCCGCCGCAGUAAUAC